CCAGCACCUGGUGAAUGAGUGUGGCCAGCGCCGCCCCCUUGGCCGACUUGGCCAGGAGCAGAAACUGCUCCUGGUUCUGCCCUGUCACCUUCACCUCCGCACUCAUGGCUGCACUGAGACGGGGGACCUGGGCUCAGGUUGACUGGAGCUGUAAGAAAGAGGAUGUGAAGCCGGAAAUCCCUGAACACUGGGUAUCGGGCGGGGCGGCCGUUCCGUCACCUCCGGCAGCUGUUCCGAGCCUUUCCUGCCGCCUCCCUACAGGGUCGCUCUAGGCACAAAUCUCGAUGGCUGGCUUCCGGACGCACUUACGCUCUUACGAAGCAUCCGGGACGUACGCGGCUUCCGCCUUCCGACCUCUGAGGCUGGGGGGUGGGGGGUGGCGGCGGCAUACGCGUUCAACUUUCUGGAUUGGCUGCUGAGAAAAUAAUGUCUGGAACAUUAUUUUCCCCGGCUUUGUUACAAUAAAACUUUAUUAGUAUGCUGCUC